GUUCGGACUGCAGGCUGCAACUCGCCUGCACGAAGCCGGAGUUGCUAGUAAUCGCGGAUCAGAAUGCCGCGGUGAAUGCGUUCCCGGGUCUUGUACACACCGCCCGUCACACCAUGGAAGUUGGGGGUGCCCAAAGCCGGCAGGGAAAUAUGCUGUCUAAGGCAAAACCAAUGACUGGGGUGAAGUCGUAACAAGGUACC
rnacentral:rRNA from 1 species